AGUCUUGCUUUGUCUCCCAGCCUGGAGUGCAGUGGUGUGAUCACCGCUCACUGUAGCCUGAACCUCCCGGGCUCCAGUGACCCUCCCAUGUCAGCACCCAGAGUAGCUCGGACUACAGGCACAUGCCACUACACCCAGCCAAUUUUUGUAUGUUUAGUAGAG